rnacentral:rRNA from 1 species
GGGCUGCAGUCGAGGAUCUUUAGCAAUGGGCGAAAGCCUGACUAUGCGACGCCGCGUGAGGGAUGAAGGUUUUCGGAUCGUAAACCUCUUUCGAUGGGAAAGAAUCCUCCGCAAGGAGGGUGACGGUACCCAGAGAAGAAGCCACGGCCAACUCCGUGCCAGCAGCCGCGGUAAUACGGGGGUGGCGAGCGUUACUCGGAUUUAUUGGGUGUAAAGGGCAGGCAGGCGUCCCUUCAAGUUUUGGGUGAAAUCCUAAGGCUCAACCUUAGAACUGCCUGAAAAACUGAAGGGAUUGAGGAUAGAAGAGGAGAGCGGAAUUCCCGGUGUAAGGGUGAAAUCUGUAGAUAUCGGGAGGAACACCUGUGGCGAAAGCGGCUCUCUAGUCUAUCUCUGACGCUGAUCUGCGAAAGCUAGGGGAGCAAACAGGAUUAGAUACCCCAGUAGUC